UUAUUCAGUGUUCUCAAAUUUAAAAACUGACAAAAGAAACAGGCUUUCUAAUGAAACCCUGAACGGCUUGCUUCAUAGAAAGUUCCCAACUUUGCCAGCAAACAAUUGCUCAAUUUUAGAACCGAACAGUGUUAGGUUGUGCAGCAAAAGAAUAUAAAAGCAAUGCGUCGACUUCCUUGAAAAUUCUAAUCCUAUAGAUCUAUGAUCUUCUGGGGGCGUUUAUAUUAUAUAUACCUACAUUAAAUAAUAUGCUGUGGUUUAUUUUCUGUAUUUUAUUUACGCUUUCUAUAUAAAGGAUUUAUGAAAGUUGUCUAGGAAAUUUUAGGGUAAAUUCAAAAGAAACUAGGGUAAAAUGUGUUAAAAAAAACGUAAGUGGAAACACUGCUUUGAAGUUUUCAAAAUUCCAGGGCCGUAAAACAAUCUCAAAAAAAAAAAAAAAAGUUUUCAAAAUGUCGUAACGAUUUAAUUUUUUAAAUCGUUUUUUUUUGGUCUUGGUGUGAGUUAUUUUACGUUGUAGUAUUAAUUUAGAGCAACUUUUAGCUUUAUGAGAAUAUUAGACGAUUAGACAUUGAGAAACUCUGUUUUGAAUUCUCUUUAGACAUAACUUGGCUCCAAUACUUUUUUCUUCGUUAGCGUUUCGUAAGCCUGUGUAACUAUUUUCAUUUCUUACAGAAUGUUUAUUAUUAAAAAUCAGCAUGCCUCGAAGAUCGAAAAUGAAAUGCUAUUUCGGAUGCCUUGAUAACGACAAAGGUUUGAUAAUGACAAAAUUUUAUAGAAAAAUUAUAAGGAGCACUAAAAUGUCUGAAACAUGAAAAGAUUGAUGCACUAUAUUUGAACCAGAGUGUGUUAUAUAUAUUAAUUUAAGAGAAACUGAUUCAGCAAGGAAUGUGAACUCACAAGGGAUCUUAAUUUUUUUUAAAUAUGAUAUAAUUUAUAAAUUAAUAAUUGAAAUAGUUCUUAAGAACUAAAUUGAUGCCAAUUUUGUUUUAAAAUAGGUUGUUUAGUUCUUAUAGUUAUACUAUUACGUUUGAAUAGUUGUAAUUAGUAAGUUAGUAAUAUAUGAAAAUACUGAUAUAAAUUUUUGUAAAUAACCUUUUGUAAAUUCUACGAGAAGAUGAUUUUAAUUAAUGAUCAAAAGUCAACGGUCUUUAAAAGCAUUAUUUGCAAUUAUUUAGAUUAACUGUGGAAUAUAUUUGCUAAGUUGUGUUUUCUGUAUGAGCAGAUAUAAAUGAAAAUGCCCAAACAUGAUUAUGUUUCUUACAUUUUCAUUAUGUGAAAUCAAUAUGCUUGUGACUGAGUAUAUUAAUAAUUUAUUAAAACUUAAGUGAUAGACAGCAACCCCUAUGGCACUGCUGAAGUUUAUAAGCACUGGUGACCACUUAUCAUGGGCCGGGUUGCGUGCUCGUCUGCUGUUGAGUGAAAUAAAAAUUUUCGAAACCCUUUCUAUUAUUUAGAUGUAAUAUUAGUGUACAUUUAAUUUGGAUUAAAAGAUAAAUUUACAUUUUAUGUUUGCAUGUGUAUGUUUAUAAUUCAUUUGCAUGUAACGAACACCAGUUUCUUUUGUAACAAAAUGUAAACUAAUGGUUUGUAAUGAAUGUAAUUAACUUUAAGAUGAUUUUCUUUCAAUCUGCUGUUUGUUUCAUCUAGUAUUACCAAAGCUAAAGCAUCAGAAACGUCAGAAUAGAAAUAAUUUAGAUAGGGAAUAAAAGUAUAACUAAUGUAAUCAUGUCUAAGAUUACUAUAAGCGUCAUUAAGUACAAACUAUCAAUAUUUAAGAGUACUUUAAAUCAUCAUUACAUUUUUUAAACAUUUUUUGUUUUUCAAAUCAUGUAAUAAAACGUUUGUGCAGAACAAAAUGUCACAUGUUAUGAACAUGAUUGUGGGUUAAUCGUUUCUUAAAUUUCUAAAUGUUUAUAAGAAUGCUAAGAAUAAUUUAGUAUUCACUUUAGUGUGUGUAUUAUCUCUACAAUGCUAGUAUAAAUGACAAUUAUUGUAUGACGAAGCAUAGGUAGUGUUUAUAGAUGUAAUAUUUUCAUACAAGGUCAUGAUCUGUCACGAUCAACUUUAAGCAAGAACUGCUAUAGUUAAGAAACAAAUUUAUUAAAUUUAAUUCAAAUUGUCUACUAUGUUUGUAAUGGAAAGCUGACAUGUUUAUAUUUCGCACAAAUGACUUAAGUGACAUUGAAUGAUUUGAUUAUCUAGACUUAAUUAACUUUUAGAUAACUUUCGAUUUAAUGUUAUUAAGUACUCUAGUAGGAUUAAUCUAGAGGAGUUAUUGUUAUUCGAAAUUUUAUACAAUUGUACGUUCAUACUAUCUUUUAACAGUAAAUUGUUUGUAAUAUAGGGAAAUUAAAUAGCUUACAGAGAA